rnacentral:rRNA from 1 species
UACGUAGGGUGCAAGCGUUAAUCGGAAUUACUGGGCGUAAAGCGUGCGCAGGCGGUUUUGUAAGCCAGAUGUGAAAUCCCCGGGCUUAACCUGGGAAUGGCAUUUGGGACUGCAAGGCUUGAGUGCGGCAGAGGAGACUGGAAUUCCCGGUGUAGCGGUGAAAUGCGCAGAUAUCGGGAGGAACACCAAUUCGAAGGCAGCUCGCUGGGACGUUACUGACGCUGAG